CUGUGCUGUGUGAGAGUGGCUUUAAAAUUGAAAUGAUACAGAAAAGAUUAGCAUGGCCCCUGCACAAGGAUGACAUGCAAAUUAGUGAAGCGCUCCAUAUUUUU